CGCCGCGGUUAUACGAGGGGCUCAAGUUGACGGAUUUCGGCGUAAAGUGUGGUUAGGAUAAUAAUUAACUAGAGGCGAACGCCUUCCAGGCUGUUAUACGCACUCGGAGUCAGGAACCACCCAUGCGAAGGCCCCUCUAACAGAUCUGAACCCACGACAGCCUGGACA
rnacentral:rRNA from 1 species